rnacentral:rRNA from 1 species
UACAGAGGGUGCGAGCGUUGUCCGGAAUCACUGGGCGUAAAGGGCGCGUAGGCGGCCUGAUAAGUAGGGGGUGAAAUCUUGCGGCUCAACCGCAAGGCUGCCUUCUAAACUGUCAGGCUGGAGCACGGUAGAGGCAGAUGGAAUUCCCGGUGUAGCGGUGGAAUGCGCAGAUAUCAGGAGGAACACCGGUGGCGAAGGCGGCACUCUGGGCCGGUACUGACGCUGAGGAGCGAAAGCGUGGGGAGCGAACAGG